AAUGAGAGGGUUUUUUUUUUUUUUUUGGUGCCUUCCAUAUUGUUUACCCUUCCUCUUUCUCUAUAACAUGUCUGUGCUAUUGAGAAUACAUGUUUUUGUUUUGUUUUUCUGAUAUGUAAUGUCACAUCUCCAUUAUAUAAAUAUAUAUUCCAUUAGAUUGACCUAUACAUUGUUGCUAUAAGAAGUGAUUAGCCAUUUUGGAUUGGAGUUGUUCAUGUUGAACUAUGUUUUAUAGAAUUAUGAAAUUAUUUCUGGAAAGUACCCUGGCUAUUAAAACUUUGAAAUAUAA